AUUGAACGCUGGCGGCAUGCCUUACACAUGCAAGUCGAAUGGCAGCACGGGGAGGGGCAACUCUCUCUGGUGGAGAGUGGCGAACGGGUGAGUAAUGCAUCGGAACGUGUCCUCUUGUGGGGGAUAACCAGUCGAAAGAUUGGCUAAUACCGCAUGAGAUCGAGAGAUGAAAGCGGGGGACCGCAAGGCCUCGCGCGAGAGGAGCGGCCGAUGCCGGAUUAGCUAGUUGGUGGGGUAAAAGCCUACCAAGGCGACAAUCCGUAGCUGGUCUGAGAGGACGACCAGGCACACUGGGACUGAGACACGGCCCAGACUCCUACGGGAGGCAGCAGUGGGGAAUUUUGGACAAGGGGCGCAAGCCUGAUCCAGCCAUGCCGCGUGUGUGAAGAAGGCCUUCGGGUUGUAAAGCACUUUCGGACGGAACGAAAUCGCGCGGGCGAACAUCCCGCGUGGAUGACGGUACCGUAAGAAGAAGCACCGGCUAACUACGUGCCAGCCGCCGCGGUAAAAC
rnacentral:rRNA from 1 species